rnacentral:rRNA from 1 species
CGGGGGCACGUGGAACCCUGUCCGAAGCUGGGAGGACCAUCUUCCAAGGCUAAGUACUCCCUGGUGACCGAUAGUGAACGAGUACCGUGAGGGAAAGGUGAAAAGAACCCCUGCGAGGGGAGUGAAAAGAACCUGAAACCGUGUGUCUACAAGCAGUGGGAGCACUAUGGCCUCUGGCAACGUGCGACCGCGUACCUUUUGCAUCAUGAGCCAACGAGUUACGGUGUGCGGCAAGGUUAAGUCGAGAGACGAAGCCGAAGCGAAAGCGAGUCUGAAUAGGGCGCAAAGUCGUACGCUGUAGACCCGAAACCCUGCGAUCUAUCCAUGGGCAGGCUGAAGCGCGGGUAAGACUGCGUGGAGGGCCGAACUCACCACAGUUGAAAAUGUGGGAGAUGACCUGUGGAUAGGAGUGAAAGGCUAAUCAAGCUGGGAGAUAGCUGGUUCUCGCCGAAACAUAUUGAGGUAUGGGCUCGGUUCAUUUUGCACGGGGGGUAGAGCACUGGAUGAGCUAGGGGGACCACAAUCUUACC